ACUCCGCCUGGGAAGUACGCUCGCAAGGGUGAAACUCAAAGGAAUUGACGGGGACCCGCACAAGUAGCGGAGCAUGUGGUUUAAUUCGAAGCAACGCGAAGAACCUUACCUAAGCUGGACAUCCCAAUGACAUCUCCUUAAUCGGAGAGUUCCCUUCGGGGACAUUGGUGACAGGUGGUGCAUGGUUGUCGUCAGCUCGUGUCGUGAGAUGUUGGGUUAAGUCCCGCAACGAGCGCAACCCUUG
rnacentral:rRNA from 1 species